GCCAGCCCGCUCAGAAACUCAAAUGAAGUUGACGGGGGCCCGCACAAGCGGUGGAGCAUGUGGUUUAAUUCGAUGAUACGCGAGGAACCUUACCUGGGCUCAAAUGUAUGUUGACGAUUCUGAAAGGGAUACUUCUUCGGACAAUAUACAAGGUGCUGCAUGGUUGUCGUCAGCUCGUGCCGUGAGGUGUCCGGGUUAAGUCCCAUAACGAGCGCAACCCCUACCUUUAGUUGCCAUCAGGUAAUGCUGGGGACUCUAAAGGAACUGCCUACGCAAGUAGUGAGGAAGGCGGGGAUGACGUCAAAUCAGCACGGCCCUUACGUCCAGGGCUACACACGUGCUACAAUGGCCGAUACAGAGGGCAGCUACCUGGUGACAGGAUGCAAAUCUCCAAAGUCGGUCUCAGUUCGGAUCGGAGUCUGCAACCCGACUCCGUGAAGUUGGAUUCGCUAGUAAUCGCGCAUCAGCCAUGGCGCGGUGAAUACGUUCCCGGGCCUU
rnacentral:rRNA from 1 species